UGACAAGAUAAGGUAGCUGAAAAGCCCAUCGUGUGCUGAAACUUCACUGAGAUGUGUGAUGAAGGCCAUCUCCUGUGUGUCUCUCUUUGACAACUCAAUUCAAAUAGAUGUUGCUGGUGAACUUAAAGCUCUCAGACUGCUCCCUGGUGUUACAAUUCUUUUCAGCCUAUAGCAUGCACAUAGUCCCAGAGCACAACCUGCCAUGAAUACAAGCCUCUUUUUGCCAGGUUUUAUCUAUAGAAAUAAAAUAAAGACAGCUAAGGCA
rnacentral:lncRNA from 1 species